rnacentral:rRNA from 1 species
UUCCGGUGACCAUUUCAGCAAUCAGUGCACGUGAAUGAUUGUCGAGCCCUUGCAUGCGUAGUGCUCGGUCUAUUGAUGUGUGAUUGACCGUAUCGAAUGCCUUCGCUAAGUCUACACAGACGAUGUUUAGUUCCUUUCCAGUCUUGUGCGCUUCUCUGACGAUGGUCAUUAGNACCGGCGACAUCACUUUCAAGUGUCUGCCUUAUCAACCUUCGAUGGUAGUCUAUGCGACUACCAUGGUGAUAACGGGUAACGGAGAAUCAGGGUUCGACUCCGGAGAGGGAGCCUGAGAAACGGCUACCACAUCCAAGGAAGGCAGCAGGCGCGCAAAUUACCCACUCCCAGCUUGGGGAGGUAGUGACGAAAAAUAACGAGACGAUUCUCGUUUGAGAAACGUUAUCGAAAUGAGUACGCUUUACACACGCUAACGAGUAGCAAUUGGAGGGCAAGUCUGGUGCCAGCAGCCGCGGUAAUUCCAGCUCCAAUAGCGUAUAUUAAAGUUGCUGCGGUUAAAACGCUCGUAGUUGAAUUGUGGUCUUAGACAACAGUCCCCCUACAUAGGUGUGGCACGGUUGCUCGAGAUCUUCAUUCGUGGUUGCUGUUGUUGCUCUUCAUUGAGUGUCAAUGGUGCCUCGAGAUUUUACUUUGAAAAAAUUAGAGUGCUCAAAGCAGGUUGUGAUGCCUGAAUAAUGGUGCAUGGAAUAAUAGAAUACGAUCUCGGUUCUAUUUUGUUGGUUUUCGAACCGGAGAUAAUGAUUGAAAGGAACAGACGGGGGCAUUCGUAUUGCUGCGUUAGAGGUGAAAUUCUUGGAUCGCAGCAAGAUGAACAAUUGCGAAAGCAUUUGCCAAGAAUGUUUUCAUUAAUCAAGAACGAAAGUUAGAGGUUCGAAGGCGAUCAGAUACCGCCCUAGUUCUAACGGUAAACUAUGCCAACCAGCGAUUCGCCGAAGUUCAUUUAAGACUCGGCGAGCAGCUUCCGGGAAACCAAAGUGUUUCGGUUCCGGGGGAAGUAUGGUUGCAAAGCUGAAACUUAUCGGCGGGAGUAACUAUGACUCUCUUCUGGCGUGCGGCGGCCUAAUUUCUAUCGCUCUCUCGCUGAACGAAAUCGCUCCGUAAGUCAGUAACUUUUCAUAGUUUUUCGGUCUCCUAGGGUCUUCUAAAUGGGAAAGCUGUCUCGUCCUGCACAGGAAAAGACUUCUGCUGCUGCAGGGUCUGACGGGCAAGCCCGAUCAGACAGGGGAAGGCGGAACCACGCUGAAGUUCCCUAUCCGGGACCUUUCAAAUGCAUUAUAUGAUCGUUUACCGAGUGUGUUUACUCACGGUUUAGUAAUCACUGCAUGAAACACGGCUUGCACUUUGAGUUACACUGUAGUAUUUGCACCAAAAUGUUCCCCAGCAUCUACUCUAUCGCAUGCCACUAUUCCCGAUGCGCGAAAACCCAUAGGAACCCUGAAAACCCCGAAAUUCCAUCCGGGUCCAAUUUGAAUGACCUUCAUUCAAACGAACUAGCCGUGGGAAACAGUGGGAUGGAAACUAGGCCAUCCAUCAAAC